rnacentral:rRNA from 1 species
GACGAACGCUGGCGGCGUGCUUAACACAUGCAAGUCGAACGAAGUGGCGCACGGGUGGGUAAUAUAUAGUUAAUCUGCCCUCCACAGAGGAACAACAGUUGGAAACGACUGCUAAUACCUCAUAGUGUCGGAUGAGACUAUAUCGUAUCAGCUAGUUGUUAAGGUAAUGGCUUACCAAGGCGAUGACGCGUAACUGGUCUGAGAGGAUGAUCAGUCACAUUGGAACUGAGACACGGUCCAAGCUCCUUCGGGAGGGAGCAGUAAGGUAUAUUGCGCAAGGGGGGAAUCCCUGACGGAGCAUCGCGGUGUGGAGGAUGACACUUUUCGGAGCGUAAACUCCUUUUAUCAGGAAAGCGGUACCUGAUGAAUAAGCACCGGCUAACUCCGUGCCAGCAGCCGCGGUAAUAC